CAGCAGCCGCGGGAAUACGUAGGGUGCAAGCGUUAAUCGGAAUUACUGGGCGUAAAGCGUGCGCAGGCGGUUCUAUAAGACAGAUGUGAAAUCCCCGGGCUCAACCUGGGAACUGCAUUUGUGACUGUAGAGCUGGAGUGCGGCAGAGGGGGACGGAAUUCCGCGUGUAGCAGUGAAAUGCGUAGAUAUGCGGAGGAACACCGAUGGCGAAGGCAAUCCCCUGGGCCUGCACUGACGCUCAUGCACGAAAGCGUGGGGAGCAAACAGGAUUAGAUACCCCAGUAGUCCCUGUCUCUUAUAC
rnacentral:rRNA from 1 species